GACCGGCGCACGGGUGAGUAACGCGUAUCCAACCUGCCUUACACUCUUGGACAGCCUUCUGAAAGGGAGAUUAAUACAAGAUGUUAUCAUGAGUAAGCAUUUUCACAUGAUUAAAGGUUUACCGGUGUAAGAUGGGGAUGCGUUCCAUUAGAUAGUAGGCGGGGUAACGGCCCACCUAGUCUUCGAUGGAUAGGGGUUCUGAGAGGAAGGUCCCCCACAUUGGAACUGAGACACGGUCCAA
rnacentral:rRNA from 1 species